UUGAUCCUGGCUCAGGAUGAACGCUAGCGGCAGGCUUAACACAUGCAAGUCGAGGGGCAGCGAAUCUAGCUUGCUAGAUGUCGGCGACCGGCGAACGGGUGCGUAACGCGUAUAGAAUCUGCCUUGUACAGGAGGAUAGCCUUUAGAAAUGAAGAUUAAUACUCCAUAAUGUUUAGAGAUGGCAUCAUUUUUAAAUUAAAGAUUUAUUGGUACAAGAUGACUAUGCGUCCUAUUAGCUAGAUGGUAAGGUAACGGCUUACCAUGGCAACGAUAGGUAGGGGGUCUGAGAGGAUUAUCCCCCACACUGGUACUGAGACACGGACCAGACUCCUACGGGAGGCAGCAGUGAGGAAUAUUGGUCAAUGGAGGCAACUCUGAACCAGCCAUGCCGCGUGCAGGAAGACUGCCCUAUGGGUUGUAAACUGCUUUUAUACAGGAAGAAACAGAACUACGUGUAGUUCCUUGACGGUACUGUAAGAAUAAGCACCGGCUAACUCCGUGCCAGCAGCCGCGGUAAUACGGAGG
rnacentral:rRNA from 1 species